GUGCUCACUUUGGCAGCACAUAUACUAAAAUUGGAAUGAUACAGAGAAGAUUAGCAUGACCACUGCACAGGGAUGACAUGCAAAUUUGUGAAGCAUUCCAUUUUUUG
ensembl:snRNA U6 U6 spliceosomal RNA